UCCUGGAUACAGAGACUCAUGGAGUAGAUUGGAACCCAGACUGUAAACUGGCGUGAAGAGCAACUCAAUUGGCCAGGACUCACUGAGGCUCUAUCGCAGCAGGUUCAAUCCUGGAUAACUCACAGCAGUGCUUUUGUUCCAUUCCUUUGCAAUGAGUGAGUGUCUAUAGACUACUUUAUUUCUUAUAUGUAGAUGAUGCUUUCUUGUUUUUGUAAUUUGUGUUUGAAAAGUGGAUACUUUAGAUGAUAUAUUACCACCUAUGGAUUUUGAUCUCUGACCAGGGUGGUACUUGCUGCUGUUUUUAAUUAAUUAAUUAAUUAAUUAAUUAAUUAAUUAAUUAAUUAAUUUAUUUAUUUAUUUAUGUGAUUGGACAAAUUCUGCAGAGGAGAUCUCC
rnacentral:lncRNA from 1 species